UAAUGCAAUCCCUAGAGACAUGAGGACAUUGGUCAAUUGGAGUUAGUUUAGAUAAAGAUUUAACCUGGAUAAUCGCUGCUGCUGUCACUGUUGACGUCUUCUCUCCUGCACACUUUCUCUUUGCUGUUUACUUGUAAUCAAAUGAGUUAUAUCAGAAGAGAGAAAACAGAUGUUGUUUUUAAACCAGGUUGUGGUGUGAUAUCAUCUAACAUAUAUGACAUGUUUCCAACAAGUAGAAAAACCGCUGAAGAUAAAAUGUCCUUUUAAAGAUCUUUUAUUUUAUCCUCAUCUCCUUUAAUCUUUCAUUCUUUAAAAUUUAAAAGUAUAGCAGAGUCCACAACUCAACUAUAACAAUAAUGACACAGAGCAAUGUUAUUGUUUCCAAAAUGAUUUUUUUUUUAGCUGAUGAAAGAUGAAAACAAUGACAGCCAAUCAGGGUCCAAUUAGUGCGCUUAUAAUAAACAUAACGUUAUCAUGCAUUGAUGUAGGCCCUAAUAUAUUUAUUGUUCAGUUAUUGUUCUUGGUGCAAAUGGACCUUAAUGUUGGGUUCCACUUAACAUACUUUGGAAAUCGGAUGUCGGAGCUGACGUUGAACCCGUGUUGACCAUGUUCCAGUGCACAAGUCAGAAAACCAAGAUGGACGCAUCCGUUGUUAGCAAUAUCAGUCGAUAAAAACACAUAAAAUACUGCCAAAAUAAUAAUGCUGAAGUAUCAUCUUCACAGAUAGAGGUUGGAUACUGUAUGCACUGCAGAGUUUAUGCUAAUAAACAAUAUAUUACUACUUUUUCACUAUUAUUGAUGCACUGAGCUGCCAUUUUGGAUUCUGAAGUCGGGGUUGUUGUGGGUUUGACUUGAGGUGGCGUUCCAGUUAAAAGCUCCUACUGGGAACUCGGAAUACGAAUUGAAUGCAUAUGGAACGCUCCACAGAACCCUCUGUAAAACACACUUAAUUCUGCAGACGCUGGUCAUCAACAAUACUGAUUGAAUUUGACAUAUAAAUCAAAGCACAUAAGAAAUGACCUUGACUAAUUUAUACCUACCUUGGUCAUUUCCAAGAUAGAUAUGUGUGCGUCUAAACACUGCCACCAAAACGGUACCUGUUAACACUUACAUUGCCCUCAGUCUGUGAAAACCUCCUCUGUUAGACAGUGAGGGGCGCGGGGUCCCGCAAGGCCCUAAUAGGGAUCAUAUGUGGAGUCAGCAUGUAGACAGAAUCCAAGACCUCUGGCCGUGCAGAAAAACCCUGUCAGCAGCGGAUCCUGGCCAGCUGAACGGCUAAAAGGCUGAGAUUUGAUUUGAUGACUUUGCACCUCUACCUCCUCUUUGCACUUAAUCUUUUUUUCUUCUCUGUUGUCUAACCUGUGGUGCCGAGGUGGUCGAAGAUGAGCUGUCUGCUGCAGGGUCCUAAUCUAAUAUAAUUAUGGCUUCUCACCAAAUCUUCCCAGUGGAAUCAUCUGCAGUCUUUGGUUUCUCUUUGUAACGGCCAGUGAGAUACAGUAAUGAUCACCCUUACUUGCCACUGUGGUUAACGCUCUGCCUGUCGGUUGAAAGAAGAGAGGGAUUGGUUACUCCGCUGAGAGUGCUUCCUUUACUUUUCCCAGACUUCUCUCCCCUCAGCAUUCCAUUGAGAAUAUGUCCUCAAGCCUACAAUUUUUAUGAGGUCCUCGGAAUUGGCAAGCGUGGAAGUCAAGACGAGCCAACAGGAAAGACCGGCAGUGCAAACAUGUUCAUGUGGUGUAGAGGAAAGGAGAAAAAUAUCUGUAAACAUGCAUACAACACAAGUUUGUUUUUGUAUUUUUGUAGGGACUUUCCAUUGACUGUUUUAUUCUGUUCUUUUUACUCUAGCCAAUUACUUUCAGGGUUUUUAAAAAAAAAAAACUUAUUUGUAGUACUGUUGUUUUGUUUAUAUAAUUUAUAUAAAUGCAAUUUUUUAAAAAUAUCUAUAUUAUUAUAUUUAAAGUCAUUUUCUUGACUACAAAAAAGAUACAAUUCAUUAUGUAAAUUCAUUAUGUAAUUUGUGACAGUAUGCCAGCUGUGUGCAGAUUGUCGUAUUAUAUAUAUGGGGUGAGCUGAAAGCCAUUGAAGCAAUGGAAGCCAUGAUAAUUAAAUAGCCCUUUUAGUUAUUUUAGCUAAGUUUGAGCAGUGAAAAUUUUUUUUUUUUUUUUUUUUUUUUAAUAAAACUUUGUUUUGAGCAACAAAACUAAUUAUUAAAGUGUACAAAAAAAUACUAAAUACAUGUUUAUGUUAAAAAAAUGAAAUUUUAGUUUAGAAGGACAGAAUUUACAAAUACUCUUUCUUUAAAAAAAAAAAAAAAUUAGCUGUUUGAAAUCAACUACUAGAGGAUCAACACAUUUAACUGGACUUUUGACUCAAAACUUAAAGACCUUGUGACAAUUUCCCCACAUGACAACUCCCUAAUUUAUAUUAUUUUAUCUUUUAAGUAGCUAUAAUCAUAGGAGUGUGAUUUAUUUUCUUUUUAAUAUAUUUCUUUUAUUAUAAAGGAUUUUGUAAAUUCUUUCACUUCCCCUAGAGACAGCCCUGUUCUUCAAACUGCUCUGAAGGUCAGCAGCGAUGCUCUGAUUCUCUGUGUGACUGUGAUUGCAUCCUCUGGAAAUUCAUUAAUGCAAAUACACAGAACUCACAAAUAAGCUGAUUGACAUGCAAACAAGUCUAUUCAAUUAGCAUGAAAUCUGAAUAAAAGCACUUUGAAAGUGCAAUAUUGGGGCUGAUGAGAGAUGCAGGUCUGUAAUUGAGCAUGACCUACGAGGAAGUGCUGAAGAGGGUCUUGCCCUAAUGCUGCUGGAGGGCUUUUGUUUUAGUUUUUUUCUGCCAUCUGGGCAGGAGCAAUUACAGCUUUGCCUUUUAAAUAAAUCAAUCUAAAGAGAGCAACAGAUCAACCUCCGUUUAAUGCCUAAUUACUUGGGCCUGUAUUCUGGGGGAGGAGCCUCAGUUAACUAUGCAAAUGAACCGGCUCCUAAUGAUACUCCCACCUAACACUGAAAAAUCUCCA